UAUCAUGCAGUCGAACGCUUCUUUCCUCCCGAGUGCUUGCACUCAAUUGGAAAGAGGAGGGCGGACGGGUGAGUAACACGUGGGUAACCUACCCAUCAGAGGGGGAUAACACUUGGAAACAGGUGCUAAUACCGCAUAACAGUUUAUGCCGCAUGGCAUAAGAGUGAAAGGCGCUUUCGGGUGUCGCUGAUGGAUGGACCCGCGGUGCAUUAGCUAGUUGGUGAGGUAACGGCUCACCAAGGCCACGAUGCAUAGCCGACCUGAGAGGGUGAUCGGCCACACUGGGACUGAGACACGGCCCAGACUCCUACGGGAGGCAGCAGUAGGGAAUCUUCGGCAAUGGACGAAAGUCUGACCGAGCAACGCCGCGUGAGUGAAGAAGGUUUUCGGAUCGUAAAACUCUGUUGUUAGAGAAGAACAAGGACGUUAGUAACUGAACGUCCCCUGACGGUAUCUAACCAGAAAGCCACGGCUAACUACGUGCCAGCAGCCGCGGUAAUACGUAGGUGGCAAGCGUUGUCCGGAUUUAUUGGGCGUAAAGCGAGCGCAGGCGGUUUCUUAAGUCUGAUGUGAAAGCCCCCGGCUCAACCGGGGAGGGUCAUUGGAAACUGGGAGACUUGAGUGCAGAAGAGGAGAGUGGAAUUCCAUGUGUAGCGGUGAAAUGCGUAGAUAUA
rnacentral:rRNA from 1 species